rnacentral:rRNA from 1 species
CAGCCGCCACGGGAAUACGGAGGGUGCAAGCGUUAAUCGGAAUUACUGGGCGUAAAGCGCACGCAGGCGGUCUGUCAAGUCGGAUGUGAAAUCCCCGGGCUCAACCUGGGAACUGCAUUCGAAACUGGCAGGCUAGAGUCUUGUAGAGGGGGGUAGAAUUCCAGGUGUAGCGGUGAAAUGCGUAGAGAUCUGGAGGAAUACCGGUGGCGAAGGCGGCCCCCUGGACAAAGACUGACGCUCAGGUGCGAAAGCGUGGGGAGCAAACAGGAUUAGAUACCCCAGUAGUCCCUGUCUCUUAUAC